AGUGAACGCUGGCGGUAGGCCUAACACAUGCAAGUCGAACGGCAGCACAGUAAGAGCUUGCUCUUACGGGUGGCGAGUGGCGGACGGGUGAGGAAUACAUCGGAAUCUACUUUUUCGUGGGGGAUAACGUAGGGAAACUUACGCUAAUACCGCAUACGACCUACGGGUGAAAGCAGGGGAUCUUCGGACCUUGCGCGAUUGAAUGAGCCGAUGUCGGAUUAGCUAGUUGGCGGGGUAAAGGCCCACCAAGGCGACGAUCCGUAGCUGGUCUGAGAGGAUGAUCAGCCACACUGGAACUGAGACACGCUCCAGACUCCUACGGGAGGCAGCAGUGGGGAAUAUUUGACAAUGGGCGCAAGCCUGAUCCAGCCAUACCGCGUGGGUGAAGAAGGCCUUCGGGUUGUAAAGCCCUUUUGUUGGGAAAGAAAAGCAGCAGGUUAAUACCCCGCUGUUCUGACGGUACCCAAAGAAUAAGCACCGGCUAACUUCGUG
rnacentral:rRNA from 1 species